UACGAAGGGUGCAAGCGUUACUCGGAAUUACUGGGCUUAAAGGGUGCGUAGGCGGCGCGGAAAGUUGGGUGUGAAAUCCCUCGGCUCAACCGAGGAACUGCGCCCAAAACUACCGUGCUCGAGGAAGAUAGAGGUGAGCGGAACUUACGGUGGAGCGGUGAAAUGCGUUGAUAUCGUAAGGAACACCCGUGGCGAAAGCGGCUCACUGGGUCUUCUCUGACGCUGAUGCACGAAAGCUAGGGGAGCAAACGGG
rnacentral:rRNA from 1 species